rnacentral:rRNA from 1 species
AUUGAACGCUGGCGGCAGGCUUAACACAUGCAAGUCGAACGAGUGGCGGACGGGUGAGUAAUGUCUGGGAAACUGCCUGAUGGAGGGGUAUAACUACUGGAAACGGUAGCAAAAACCGCAUACCAUCGGAUGUCCCCAGAUGGGAUUAGCUAGUAGGUGGGGUAAAGGCUCACCUAGGCGACGAGCCCUAGCGGGUCUGAGAGGAUGACCAGCAACACUGGAACGUAGACACGGUCCAGCCUCCGACGGGGGGCAGAAGUGGGGAAUAUUGCAAAAUGGGCGCAAGCCUGAUGCAGCCAUGCCGCGUGUAUGAAGAAGGCCUUCGGGUUGUAAAGUACGUUCAGCGGGGAGGCGGUACCCGCAGAAGAAGCACCGGCUAACUCCGUGCCAGCAGCCGCGGUAAUAC